rnacentral:rRNA from 1 species
CCUACGUGAGGCAGCAGUGGGGAAUAUUGGGCAAUGGGCGCAAGCCUGACCCAGCAACGCCGCGUGAGCGAUGAAGUAUUUCGGUAUGUAAAGCUCUAUCAGCAGGGAAGAAAAUGACGGUACCUGACUAAGAAGCCCCGGCUAACUACGUGCCAGCAGCCGCGGUAAUACGUAGGGGGCAAGCGUUAUCCGGAUUUACGGGGUGGAAAGGGAGCGUAGACGGCUGUGCAAGCCAGAUGUGAAAGCCCGGGGCUCAACCCCGGGACUGCAUUUGGAACUGUGUGGCUGGAGUGUCGGAGAGGCAGGCGGAAUUCCUGGUGUAGCGGUGAAAUGCGUAGAUAUUAGGAGGAACACCAGUGGCGAAGGCGGCCUGCUGGACGAUGACUGACGUUGAGGCUCGAAAGCGUGGGGAGCAAACAGGAUUAGAUACCCUGGUAGUC